UUUGCUCAGUUAAUUGUCGGAAGAACACUUUCCUUCCAAAUGAUAAGAAAGAUGAGGCCAACAGUUUUAAUCAGUCUGCUGCUGACUUUAUUAUCCCCUGCUCAGUCAGAUUUCGUGCUGAUUCAGCCAGAGGCAGAGACCGCGAAAGCUGGCGGCUCCCUGACAAUUCGGCGUGAAACAAGUGGUUUUGACCUUGACAACACGUACAUGAACUGGUUCCGACAGGUGCCUGGGCAGACACUGGAGAUUUUAGUUAGCUACUAUGAUAUAGAAUUGAACUUGUACGCUCCGCAGAUUCAGAAUCAAUUUACUUCAUCCAAAGAUAUUUCAAACAACAUUUUUUUCUUGGAGAUGGAAAAUCUGAGGACGGAAGACUCCGCCAUCUACUACUGUGCAAGACAGAUCUACACAUCCGAAUGGGAGUCCGCCAGCGGCUUUUGGGGACCAGGAACCAUGGUGACAGUGACUGAAGUGCCUACCUCUCCCCCUAUGCUUUAUGCCCUGUUCUCCUCUUGUGAAACUACUCACAUGGAUGACACGGUGACCUAUGGCUGUUUGGCAAUGGAUUAUAGCCCCAAAAUCACUGGCAUUACCUGGAAAAAAGAUGGGAAACCAAUCACCACUGGAGUGAAGACUUAUCUCUCAGUGAGAAACAAGCAGGGUACUUACACCCAGAGCAGCACGUUAACCAUGUCUGAAGUGCGAAGCAACAACAUUUGCUGCCAGGUUCAAUACAAUGGAUCGAAUAAGAUGAUCAAAAUGCCAGGUCCCUCUUGCACUGACACGGUAGUCACAAUACUGCAGCCGUCAAUAAAACAGGUCUUACUCGAGGGGACUGUGACCUUAACCUGCAUCGUGUCCAAUUCUCCUCAUGGAAUCGACGUAUCUUGGAUUCAAGGAGAACGACACUUGAAGUCAGAGAUUGCUGUCCAACUGGAAGAGGAUCCUGGCAGCUGGAUCAGCAGAAUAAACAUUUCAACAGAAGCAUGGUUGAGUGGAUCUGAGUUCUACUGUGUGGUGAUGCAUCAGGAUCUGCCCAGACAACUAAGAGCCUCCAUCCAUAAGGAGGAAGUUAGUGAUCUUCUGAAACCGUCCGUGUUUGUCCUCCUGCCCUCACCAGAAGAAGACUCUCACGAGUUCGUCUCUCUCAGCUGCUUAGUGAAACGUUUCUACCCCCGAGAGAUUUUUGUCGAGUGGACCACCAAUGACAUACCAGUGAAUCCCAGAAACUACAGAAACACCGAGGCGAUGGCGGAGAACGGCAAUAGUUCCUUCUUCAUGUACAGCCUGUUAUCUAUACCAGCAGAGGAAUGGGCCAGCGGUGCUUUUUAUUCUUGUGUGGUGGGACAUGAAGCAAUUCCACUGAAAGUCAUCCACAGAAUGGUUAAUAAAUGCAGCGGUAAAUCGAGUUUUGCAAAUAUUUCCCUUACAUUUGUGGACAAUGUCAAUUUUUGUCAAACAGCUGUGCUCAAUUGCGUUUGUAAAUAAUGUU